GAUGAACGCGGCGGCGUGCCUAAUACAUGCAAGUAGAACGCUGAAGGAGGGAGCUUGCUCUUUCCGCAGAGUUGCGAACGGGUGAGUAACGCGUAGGUAACCUGCCUGGUAGCGGGGGAUAACUAUUGAAACGAUAGCUAAUACCGCAUAACAGUAGAUGUUGCAUGAUAUCUGCUUGAAAGGGGCAAUUGCUCCACUACCAGAUGGACCUGCGUUGUAUUAGCUAGUUGGUGAGGUAACGGCUCACCAAGGCGACGAUACAUAGCCGACCUGAGAGGGUGAUCGGCCACACUGGGACUGAGACACGGCCCAGACUCCUACGGGAGGCAGCAGUAGGGAAUCUUCGGCAAUGGACGGAAGUCUGACCGAGCAACGCCGCGUGAGUGAAGAAGGUUUUCGGAUCGUAAAGCUCUGUUGUAAGAGAAGAACGAGUGUGAGAGUGGAAAGUUCACACUGUGACGGUAUCUUACCAGAAAGGGACGGCUAACUACGUGCCAGCAGCCGCGGUAAUACGUAGGUCCCGAGCGUUAUCCGGAUUUAUUGGGCGUAAAGCGAGCGCAGGCGGUUAGAUAAGUCUGAAGUUAAAGGCUGUGGCUUAACCAUAGUACGCUUUGGAAACUGUUUAACUUGAGUGCAAGAGGGGAGAGUGGAAUUCCAUGUGUAGCGGUGAAAUGCGUAGAUAUAUGGAGGAACACCGGUGGCGAAAGCGGCUCUCUGGCUUGUAACUGACGCUGAGGCUCGAAAGCGUGGGGAGCAAACAGG
rnacentral:rRNA from 1 species